AGAGUUUGAUCAUGGCUCAGAACGUACGCUGGCGGCACGCCUAACACAUGCAAGUCGAACGCAGUAGCAAUACUGAGUGGCAAACGGGUGAGUAUAAUGUGGGAAUCUGCCUUUUGGUUUGGAAUAACACGGGGAAACUUGUGCUAAUACCGAAUAAGCCCUUACGGGGAAAGUUUUAACGCCGAAAGAUGAGCCCGCACUUGAUUAGCUAGUUGGUAAGGUAAAAGCUUACCAAGGCAAUGAUCAAUAGCUGUUCUUAGAGGAAGACCAGCCACAUUGGGACUGAGACACGGCCCAGACUCCUACGGGAGGCAGCAGUGGGGAAUCUUGCACAAUGGGGGAAACCCUGAUGCAGCGAUGCCGCGUGAGUGAAGAAGGCCUUUGGGUUGUAAAACUCUUUCGUCGGGGAAGAAAAUGACUGUACCCGAAUAAGAAGGUCCGGCUAACUUCGUGCCAGCAGCCGCGGUAAUACGAAGGGACCUAGCGUAGUUCGGAAUUACUGGGCUUAAAGAGCUCGUAGGUGGUUAAAAAAGUUGAUGGUGAAAUCCCAAGGCUUAACCUUGGAACUGCCAUCAAAACUUUUUAGCUAGAGUGUGACAGAGGUAAGUGGAAUUUCUAGUGUAGAGGUGAAAUUCGUAGAUAUUAGAAAG
rnacentral:rRNA from 1 species